GACGAACGCUGGCGGCGUGCUUAACACAUGCAAGUCGAACGGAAAGGCCCUGCUUUUGUGGGGUGCUCGAGUGGCGAACGGGUGAGUAACACGUGAGUAACCUGCCCUUGACUUUGGGAUAACUUCAGGAAACUGGGGCUAAUACCGGAUAGGAGCUCCUGCUGCAUGGUGGGGGUUGGAAAGUUUCGGCGGUUGGGGAUGGACUCGCGGCUUAUCAGCUUGUGGGGGGGGUAGUGGCUUACCAAGGCUUUGACGGGUAGCCGGCCUGAGAGGGUGACCGGCCACAUUGGGACUGAGAUACGGCGCAGACUCCUACGGGAGGCAGCAGUGGGGAAUAUUGCACAAUGGGCGGAAGCCUGAUGCAGCAACGCCGCGUGCGGGAUGACGGCCUUCGGGUUGUAAACCGCUUUCGCCUGUGACGAAGCGUGAGUGACGGUAAUGGGUAAAGAAGCACCGGCUAACUACGUG
rnacentral:rRNA from 1 species